AAAUUGAAGAGUUUGAUCAUGGCUCAGAUUGAACGCUGGCGGCAGGCCUAACACAUGCAAGUCGAACGGUAACAGGAAGAAGCUUGCUUCUUUGCUGACGAGUGGCGGACGGGUGAGUAAUGUCUGGGAAACUGCCUGAUGGAGGGGGAUAACUACUGGAAACGGUAGCUAAUACCGCAUAACGUCGCAAGACCAAAGAGGGGGA
rnacentral:rRNA from 1 species